rnacentral:rRNA from 1 species
AAUAUUGGACAAUGGGCGCAAGCCUGAUCCAGCAAUGCCGCGUGUGUGAAGAAGGCCUGCGGGUUGUAAAGCACUUUCAAUCGUGAAAAAAAGCUCAUGGUUAAUACCCAUGAGUCUUGAUGUUAACGAUACAAGAAGCACCGGCUAACUCCGUGCCAGCAGCCGCGGUAAUACGGAGGGUGCGAGCGUUAAUCGGAAUUACUGGGCGUAAAGAGUACGUAGGCGGCUUGGUCAGUCGGAUGUGAAAGCCCCGGGCUUAACCUGGGAAUUGCAUUCGAAACUACCAAGCUAGAAUUUAGUAGAGGAAUGCGGAAUUCCGGGUGUAGCGGUGAAAUGCGUAGAGAUCCGGAGGAACAUCAAUGGCGAAGGCAGCAUUCUGGGCUAAAAUUGACGCUGAGGUACGAAAGCGUGGGGAGCAAACAGGAUUAGAUACCCUGGUAGUCCACGCCGUA